rnacentral:pre_miRNA from 1 species
AGAUGAAUCAUUUGUGGAUUUUGUUAAAAUGCAAUAUUACAUCUGCAGUUUUGUGGUGGGGCCUGAUAGUUUGCAUUUCUAACAAAUUCCAGGUGAAGUCAAU